rnacentral:rRNA from 1 species
GACAGAGGGUGCAAACGUUGUUCGGAAUUACUAGGCGUAAAGCGCAGGUAGGCGGUUGGAUAAGUUUCUUGUGAAAGCUCCCGGCUUAACUGGGAGAGGCCAAGGAAUACUAUCUGACUUGAGUAUGGUAGGGGUAACUGGAAUUCCCGGUGUAGCGGUGAAAUGCGUAGAUAUCAGGAAGAACACCCGUGGCGAAGGCGGCUCUCUGGGACGGUACUGACGCUGAGACGCGAAAGCGUGGGGAGCGAACAGG